UGGGGAAUAUUGCACAAUGGGCGAAAGCCUGAUGCAGCAACGCCGCGUGAGUGAUGAAGGUCUUCGGAUUGUAAAGCUCUGUCUUUUGGGACGAUAAUGACGGUACCAAAGGAGGAAGCCACGGCUAACUACGUGCCAGCAGCCGCGGUAAUACGUAGGUGGCGAGCGUUGUCCGGAUUUACUGGGCGUAAAGGGUGCGUAGGCGGAUGUUUAAGUGAGAUGUGAAAUACCCGGGCUUAACUUGGGUGCUGCAUUUCAAACUGGAUAUCUAGAGUGCAGGAGAGGAGAAUGGAAUCCCUAGUGUAGCGGUGAAAUGCGUAGAGAUUAGGAAGAACACCAGUGGCGAAGGCGAUUCUCUGGACUGUAACUGACGCUGAGGCACGAAAGCGUGGGUAGCAAACAGGAUUAGAUACCCUGGUAGUCCACGCCGUAAACGAUGAGUACUAGGUGUAGGAGGUAUCGACCCCUUCUGUGCCGCAGUAAACACAUUAAGUACUCCGCCUGGGAAGUACGAUCGCAAGAUUAAAACUCU
rnacentral:rRNA from 1 species